AGGACGAACGCUGGCGGCGCGCUUCAUACAUGCAAGUCGAACGAGAAGCCCGGAGCUUGCUCUGGGUGGAAAGUGGCGAACGGGUGAGGAACACGUGAGAAACCUGCCCCGAAGACCGGGAUAACACCGGGAAACCGGUGCUAAUACCGGAUGCCCUCACCGGACCGCAUGAUCCGGUGAGGAAAUGGAUUCCGCUUCGGGAUGGUCUCGCGGCCUAUCAGCUUGUUGGUGGGUAACGCCCACCAAGGCUUCGACGGGUAGCUGGUCUGAGAGGAUGUCCAGCCACACUGGGACUGAGACACGGCCCAGACUCCUACGGGAGGCAGCAGUAGGGAAUCUUGCGCAAUGAGCGAAAGCUUGACGCAGCGACGCCGCGUGCGGGAUGAAGGCCCUCGGGUCGUAAACCGCUUUCAGCAGGGACGAAAUUGACGGUACCUGCAGAAGAGCCCGGCAACUACGUGCCAGCAGCCGC
rnacentral:rRNA from 1 species